CCAGAGCCACGUAGGAAGCACCCACAACCAGAGUCUUGCCAGGGCAGUAAGGCAGGGAGAAGAGGUCAUCACUGAAAAGAGAAGACCUCUAAGUAAUUCAGGUUGGAAAGGAUCUCAGGAGGUCAUCUAGUCCAGCCUGCUGCUGAGGAGUCUCUCUGUUCUACUUCAUUUAUUGAUUAAGGACACUUCAGUGGCUUGGACACUUGAACAGGUGGUACACAAGAAGGACAGAACUGACUUGGCAUGUUCACGCAUGGAAAAGAAGGUGACACACUGGAGACAUUUCAGUGGAGCAUCACCAUGAUGUUCAAGGGGCUGGAGCACACCCCCCAUGAGAAGGCCAAGGGAAUUUGACACAUUCAGCCUGGAGAACAACUGAAUUUGGAGGGGACACAGGAGCAACUUUCCAGUACCUAUGAGAAGUACAUCAAGAUGACUGUGCCAGGCUCUUCACAGUGGCCAAGUAGCAAAGGGACAAAAGACAAUGGCUUUAAGUUGAAACAAAAGACUCACACUGGAUAUAAAGAACUUUCACACCAUGAGGACAACCAAAAAGGUUUCCCAGAAAGGCUGUGCCAUCUCCACCCCUGGCUUAUUUCAAAUGAAUGAGAUCCUGCACAAUCCUGUGUGACUUCACAGUUGACCUUGCUUGGAGCAAGGAGCUUACAUUAGAUAUUCUUCUCAUAAGCCUAUUCCUCUAUCCAAGAAAUUACCAGGUACACAUUGUUUGAUUUUUCAAGCACUUAAAUCAAAUCUCUAGGUGCCUCAAAUCUAUUCAAGAACUUCUGCACAUCAACUGCAAUCCUGGCUAAAACAAGGUUUAGCUGGCUGUCUUAUAUUUCAUGAAUACUACUCUGAACAAUUUGGCAAUUAGCACCAAGUUUACAACUGAUGUCCCGGAAGGUACUGUGAGGAAAGAUCUGAACAUUCUGAAAAUAAA